UUCGUCUGCAGUUUAUGAGGAUGAGCACCUCCGCAGGAGGUUCGAGCCUCGCGAAGCGAGACAACGUUGCUUUAGCAACGGCCCGCAGGGCGCGCAUCAACGAUGCGCGUAAUCCUCUCUCGCCGACCA
rnacentral:sRNA from 2 species